CCUACGGGUGGCAGCAGUGGGGAAUUUUGCACAAUGGGGGAAACCCUGAUGCAGCGACGCCGCGUGAGUGAAGAAGUAUUUCGGUAUGUAAAGCUCUAUCAGUAGGGAAGAAAAUGACGGUACCUGAUUAAGAAGCGCCGGCUAAAUACGAGUCAGCAGCCGCGGUAAUACGUAGGGGGCAAGCGUUAGCCGGAUUUACUGGGUGUAAGGGGAGCGUAGACGGCAGCACAAGUCUGGAGUGAAAGGCCGGGGCUCAACCCCGGAACGGCUUUGGAAACUGUGCAGCUAGAGUGCAGGGGAGGUAAGUGGAAUUCCCGGUGUAGCAGUGAAAUGCGUAGAUAUAAGGAGGAACACGAGUGGCGAAGGCGGCUUACUGGACUGUAACUGACGUUGAGGCUCGAAGGCGUGGGGAGCAAACAGGAUUAGAUACCCUAGUAGUC
rnacentral:rRNA from 1 species